UGGGGAAUUUUGGACAAUGGGCGAAAGCCUGAUGCAGCAACGCCGCGUGAGGGAUGACGGCCUUCGGGUUGUAAACCUCUUUUAGCAGGGAAGAAGCGAAAGUGGCGGUACCUGCAGAAAAAGCACCGGCUAACUACGUGCCAGCAGCCGCGGUAAUACGUAGGGUGCAAGCGUUGUCCGGAAUUAUUGGGCGUAAAGAGCUCGUAGGCGGUCUGUCGCGUCUGCUGUGAAAUCCCGAGGCUCAACCUCGGGCCUGCAGUGGGUACGGGCAGACUAGAGUGCGGUAGGGGAGAAUGGAACUCCUGGUGUAGCGGUGGAAUGCGCAGAUAUCAGGAAGAACACCGAUGGCGAAGGCAGUUCUCUGGGCCGUAACUGACGCUGAGGAGCGAAAGCGUGGGGAGCGAACAGGAUUAGAUACCCUGGUAGUCCACGCCGUAAACGUUGGGCGCUAGAUGUGGGGACCAUUCCACGGUUUCCGUGUCGCAGCUAACGCAUUAAGCGCCCCGCCUGGGGAGUACGGCCGCAAGGCUAAAACU
rnacentral:rRNA from 1 species